rnacentral:pre_miRNA from 1 species
ACAACAUAAGGACUGUUGGUCUACCGAGCAAUAUCACCCGCUCGAUGGAAGAUCUCUCCUUUCGUUGU